CCCAGGACAGAAGUCCCUCGCCAACUAGAAAUCUCCUUACCGCCGCCUUCGACCCUGCUUAGGUGUGCCUUUGAGCACACAGUGAGAAGUUGGGCUCAGUAUAUGCAAACUGCAUCCUGGUGUUGGAGAGAACUGGAAAGAGGGGUUAGGAAUUGGCGGAAGAAGAGUAAGAGCUACGGGCAAAGUACGCAGCAAUAAAAGCAGGUCUCAGCUCAAACAUCACCUCCUUCUUCCUGGACCGCCUAUCAUGAGUGAGGAUGCUUUGAAACAAGACAGCCCAAGCAGCUGGCACCUACACCAAGAGUGGUCCCAGUCACAAACCAUAUAUUUUGAUGAAUGACUGUGCUGGGCGUUCAACCUUGGGAACCAUUGAGCACCAUCUGCUUUCCUGAAAGGCUCGGAGACUUCACUUGGCACCAGGGUAGAGGCACAGAGAGUCCCCAACUGACAGAUCUUCUAGGAGAAACCCCUCUAUUAAUAAUGCCAUCGUAGCUAUGGGAAGUGUGAGUUUUCAUUUCCUCGGGGUUCGGGGGGAGGAAGAACUAAAAGCGAGGCUUCAGAAAUCCCCUUGGGCGUAGUCUAUUUUAGGCUGGCAGAGCACACCCAGCUUGUGGGUAGGAAACAGCACCUCUGCUUGUGGAGAUGAGA